rnacentral:lncRNA from 1 species
UCCCUCUCCAUGCCUCCUCUCCUCCCUCUCUUCUUUUUCAUGCCCAAAGGUUGGGUGCCUCUCUUCCACAUGCCCAAAAGCAAUGUUCGUGACUUGAAGAUUAUAGAUCGAGGAGAAGAAGAAGAAGGCCGCAGAUCAAAGAGUUGAUCUCGUAGUUAAGAUCAAAGAAGUUGAUCAAAGUUCAAAGGCUGAGAUUCUUCUUAGGA